AAAACAUGAUGAGGACAUCUCCUAAGAAUUUCAUUAAAUCUCUCCCAACUUUUAUAAAUUGACUUUCCCUCAAAUUGAGCAAAAUAUGUGAUAUCAUUCAUAAGUUU